rnacentral:SRP_RNA from 2 species
UACCGGUCCCCUCGCGACGAGACGUUGUCAACCCCGCCAGGCCCGGAAGGGAGCAACGGUCGCAGCGCCUUCGUGCGCCGGGGUGUGAUGGGUACGG